UCCUCUGUCAAAAUAGGUGAUGGGCAGAGC
rnacentral:piRNA from 1 species